UGACAUAGAAAGCAGUGUUUAGUGUAAAAGAACACACGAGUGGCAUCCAAAAGUUAAACGAUGACGAGUGGCAUUAAUGUAGUGUAUAUGACACUAGAGGUUUGAGAACCUAGGGAUAGUUCUCACCCCACUCUAUUUCCAGUGGUAGGUACAGGGUUACCGAGAGAGGACCGCGGCAAGGGCAUCGCGCCCGAUCAGUGAGACCGUGGUAGUAUAGUAGCUUUCCUUUUGCAUUAGCACCCCUAUGUAUUGAGAGAGAUUCAUGUAGGUGAGGUUGGAGAGCUAUGUAUUUUGAGGAUCAAAUGUAUUCAUUUUGGGAAAAUGAUGUAAAUGUAAAAGAAUGCAACUAUUGUAAUAGCUAGUAAAGUACUCUCUUUAUUUCACAUGUUUUAUCUUGUGGAUUACUUGCUCUUUGUAUUGUUGGCACUGUUCAUGCCCUUGUGAAUGUGUAUGUUUAGAAUUUAAUUUCCUGGGUAAAUUCUUGUACACAUUCUUGUUGUUGAGCCUUGGGCGGACAGGGGAGGUGCUGUCCGUUCGGCAGUUCGCCGCCGCGGCCGAAUCGUGCCAAAUUGGUAGUGGUUUCGGGGCGGGGCGUGACAACUUUUGUGGUAUCAGAGCAAUAAGAGCAAGUAAAGAGAGAGUCUAGGAUGAUCUAGGAGACCCUAGGUUGGUGAGCCUUAAGGUUAUAGGUGCGUGAGCGGAACGUGAACCUAUAACGAUGGCGGAAGUUAAUUCGAUUCGGUCGAAGUUGAUAAUAUGUCUCUAGUUGUGAAUAGAGACAGAUUCAAGUGGUAUUAGUUCUUGAUUUGAGGUGGUUGUGUCGGCGGCCGACGACAUGAUGCCAAGAGUCUAGAACGAGUACGCUUGUGUGCUUUCGCCCGAUUCCGUUGUUGAGUCGUCAUGUGUCGUAAUUUCGACGAGGUAAUUCGUUAAGGUGACUGACUAGGUAUUUGCGUUUCAGGGGCUAAUGUCUCCAAGACGCUACACGCGCAGAUCUACUCCGGCACCGACUCCUGAGGUGCCCGAGCAGGGAGAACCGAGCGUGAUGGAUCGGUUGCAAGCGCAGGUAACCGCGCUGACCGAUGUGGUGUAGCGCCAGGAGACCCGAUUCGAGCGGCUCCAGGAGCUCUUGGAGCCGCAGGCAGCGGCAGCGGCCGCAAAGGCGACAGACGGACGCGAUGUGCCCGCGCCCUCGGCUCGUGUGCCUGAGCCAGCUAAGGGUGAGGGUAUAGCGGCGAUUCCAGUGGCGGCGCAUCCCCCGCCAACGAUCGUCCCUCCGACGGCGUCGGGAUCGGCUACACCCGAUGUGACGGCCGAAGAUGUGGAAGGGGAGCGCGCAUUGGCGGCUCUUAUCAAGUUCAACAAGUUCCAUCCGCCAACCUUUGAGGGUGAGAAGGUGGAACCGGCGAUGGUCGAGUCCUGGAUCGACUCGAUGGAAACCCUCUUCGAUGAUUUGCGUACCUUGGAGAGAGAUAAAGUGUACCUCGCCACCCAUUGCUUGGAAAAGGCGGCGAAGGUGUGGUGGAAGCGCGUCAAGCGGGAUCGGCUUCCCGGCCUUCCGCCGAUGCUGUAGGAGGAGUUCAAGCCGGAGAUGUUCGCCAACUACUUUCCCGAUACAUUGAAGCGGAAGCUCAAGGAGAAGUUCCGCAAGUUAGAGCAAGGGGACCGCUCAGUGGCGGAGUAUGAACAAGAGUUCUCCCAUAUUAUAGAUUGCAUCCCGGAUGUUGUAAAGGAUGACCGGGACCGGGCCGAGUGGUUCUUGUGAGGACUUCGGCCGGGAAUCUAUAAGGCCGUGCAAAUACUUAAGCUCACGACCUUUGCUGAGGUCUUUGAUCGAGCCCUAUGGGCGGAGCACGGAGAUGCCCACGUGCGGGAGAAGCGUGAGCAUUUGGCGGAGUCCAAGGACAAGGGCAAGAAACGCCAAGGCGGCAGUAGUUCGGGUGGUCAAACACGUUACAAGAAACCCCCGAAGUAUCCGCGCACUCAACAGAGGGGCGGUGGAGCGCGGCGAUGCAUUGUAUGCGGCGGAGACCACCCCGUCUCGCGCUGUGAGCAAGGCCGAGGCAAGUGCUACAAGUGUGGGCAACCGGGCCACUUCAUUCGGGACUGCCCGGGGGGAGGAGCCUCGCCUGCCCCAUCGAUUGCAUCGGCGCCGGCGAUUCCGGCUCACUAUGGAGGAGCUCCACCGACGGCCGCGUCGACGGGACGCGCGAUGACGCCGCGUCAACCUGAAAUGGCGCGAUCGGCCCCGAGCGGACGGGUAUUUGCCGCUCAGGUCCAGGCUGAGGAACCUGCGGAGGCGGAGGAGCAUCGCCUUGUGGCAGGUAUGGUUUUGAUUAACGGAGUUCGCUCCAGGGCUUUAUUUGAUACGGGAGCCACGCAUUCAUUCAUUAGUAGGUCAUUCGCUCACAUGCAUGACAUUCUCAUAGAGGCGAGUGACAAGUGGCGAGUUGAGGGCCCUGGGUCGACGUUUAACACAUACACGGAGUGCGCCUCGUGUCCGGUGCAAAUAGGCGACUGGAUAAUGCCUAUUCGGACGCUAGGACUCCAGAAACUUGAGGCGUACGAUGUCAUAUUGGGCAUGGACUGGCUCUCGAAAUACCACGCCACGAUUGACUGCAAGAGCAGGGUGAUCACAUUCCGUGAGCCAGGACAAGAGGAAUUCACCUAUCGAGCUUGUCAGAGCUCGUGCUUCGCCGCGACGGUGUCGACGACGAGAGCAAGGAAGUUGGUUAACGGCGGUUGCGCGGCAUUCUUAGCGACUGUUGUGGAAACAGAACGGGUAGCUCCAACACUAGAGGAGUUAUCGGUGGUGCGGGAGUUCCCGGAUGUAUUUCCCCCGGAGUUGCCGGGGAUACCACCGGAUCGGGACAUCGAGUUCGUCAUAGACUUGGUACCCGGUACCGCACCGAUCUCGAAGGCUCCGUACCGAAUGGCGCCGGCGGAAUUAAAGGAGUUGAGGAGUCAACUACAAGACCUCCUCGACAAGCAAUUUAUCCGGCCAAGUGUAUCACCGUGGGGAGCCCCGGUGUUGUUUGUGCGGAAGAAGGAUGGAUCGUUUCGACUCUGCGUGGAUUAUCGAGAGUUGAACAGAGUCACGAUCAAGAACAAGUACCCACUACCCCGAAUCGAUGACCUGUUCGAUCAGUUGCAAGGGUCGUGCGUGUACUCGAAGAUAGAUUUGCAAUCCGGCUAUCACCAGUUGAAAAUCAAGCCGGAGGAUGUUCAGAAGACCGCGUUUCGCACGCGGUAUGGACACUACGAAUUCACGGUCAUGCCAUUUGGACUCACGAAUGCUCCAGCGGCGUUCAUGGAUUUGAUGAACCGUGUCUUCAGAGAGUAUUUGGACCGAUUUGUCGUGGUCUUUAUAGACGACAUAUUGGUCUAUUCUCGUGGUGACGAGGAACAUGCCGAGCAUUUGAGAUUAGUGCUUCAAGUCCUUCGGGAGGAGAAGCUAUAUGCUAAGCUGAAGAAGUGUGACUUCUGGCUUCGCGAAGUCGCUUUCUUAGGGCAUGUAAUUUCCGCGGGUGGAGUUUCUGUAGACCCGAGGAAAGUCGAGGCAAUCAAGGAUUGGCCGCGCCCGACAAAUGUCACGGAGGUUCGAAGCUUCGUGGGCUUAGCGGGCUAUUAUAGGCGGUUUGUGGAAGGCUUUUCCAAGAUAGUAAUUCCACUUACCCGCCUGACCCAGAAAGGCACCAAGUUUGUUUGGAGUGAGGAGUGCGACCGGAGUUUCAAAGAGUUGAAGCAAAGAUUAACUUCAACUCCGGUGCUCGCUCUACCGGUGCAAGGAGAAGACUUCGUAGUCUACAGCGACGCUUCCUAUCUAGGAUUGGGGUGUGUUUUGAUGCAAAACGGGAAGGUGAUUGCUUCUGCAUCCCGUCAGCUGAAGAGCUAUGAAAAGAAUUACUCCAUCCAUGAUUUGGAGCUAGCGGCGGUGAUUUUCGCCCUGAAGCUGUGGAGGCACUACUUAUAUGGUGCCCAUUGUGAGAUUUAUACCGACCACAAGAGCUUGAAGUACUUGUUUACACAAAAGGAGCUCAACAUGCGUCAGCGGCGGUGGUUAGAAUUGUUAAAGGAUUAUGACGUUGAUAUUCUUUACCACCCCGGGAAGGCAAACAUGGUCGCGGACGCACUUAGUAGGAAGUCGGCAAAGAACCUCGCCUUUGAUGUUACCCAGCAAACACCCCUAUGGCUAGAUACGAAGCGAUUGGACCUUGAAGUGGUCGCUCCCGAGGUCCCGACUCAGUUGAUGGCACUCGUCGUCCAACCGACCUUGUUGGAGAGGAUUAAAGACUUGCAACCUACGGAUCCAGAACUCCAAAAGGUGCGGCGAAACAUCGAGGAUGGUUGAGGCAGCGAUUUCAGUAUAAACAUCGAUGGUGCGCUUCGGUUUAGAAACCGAUGGUGUGUGCUGAAAGAUGGAGAGCUUCGCAAGCUGAUUCUACAAGAAGCACAUAGAUCUCCGUAUGCUGAUCACCCGGGCGGCACCAAAAUGUAUCGAGGACUAAAAAUGCACUAUUGGUGGCCGGGAAUGAAAGGUGAUAUUGGGCGCUUUGUGGCGAAGUGCUUAACGUGCCAGCAAGUGAAAGCAGAGCGUCGAUUUCCAGCGGGAAAGCUUCAAAGCCUACCAAUCCCCGUUUGGAAGUGGGAGGAUAUAUCAAUGGACUUCGUGGUCCGCUUGCCUCGCUCAACGGGCGGCCACGAUGCAAUUUGGGUAAUUGUGGACCGAUUGACGAAGUCGGCUCAUUUCUUGCCGAUCCACACCACGUGGUCGGGUGACAAGUUAGCGUAGGUAUACCUUGACGAGGUGGUGAGACUGCAUGGAGUGCCGAAAUCGAUCGUGUCGGAUCGUGACCCCCGGUUCACUUCACACUUCUGGAAGAGCCUGCAGGAAGCCCUUGGCACACGGCUCGACUUUAGCACCGCGUUUCAUCCUCAGACCGAUGGGCAAACAGAGAGAACCAUUCAAACUCUGGAGGAUAUAUUGCGAGCGUGUGUCAUCGACUAUAAGGGAAAUUGGUGUGAUCACCUACCUAUGGCCGAGUUCGCCUACAACAACAGUUAUUAUGCGAGUGUAGAGAUGACACCGUUCGAGGCUCUCUAUGGGCGGACGUGUCGGUCUCCUAUACAUUGGAGUGAUAUAGGUGAGCGUGCGGAGUUCGGCCCCGACGUGUUGCGAGAAGCGGAGGAGAAAGUCCGCCUUGCUCGCAAGAGAUUGCUCACGGCGCAGUCAAGACAGCAAAGUUAUGCGGAUAGGCGCCGUCGAGAUAUAGAAUUCGCAGUGGGUGACCGCGUAUUCUUGAAGGUUUCACCCAUGCGGGGUGUGAAGCGGUUUGGAGUGCGGGGAAAGCUAAGUCCCCGAUAUAUUGGACCAUAUGAGAUAUUAGAGCGAGUCGGCACGGUGGCCUACCGACUUGCUCUACCGCCGAAGCUUGCGGAUGUACACAAUGUGUUCCAUGUCUCCAAUCUCCGCAAGUACAUUCACGACCCCGAGCACGCAAUGCUAUAUGAACCGCCGGAACUUCAAGAAGACUUGAGCUAUGAAGAGUUUCCGGUGGGUGUUAUCGCCCGAGAGGUGCGAAAGCUGAGGAAUCGAGAAAUCCCCUAUGUGAAAAUUCGGUGGAGCAAUCACGAUGAUCGCGAGGCCACCUGGGAACUCGAGGAGCUGAUGAGGAAACACCAUCCUCAUCUGUUCGAGGAGUAAGGUAUGAGUUUAAAUUAAAGUUAGAAAAUUGUUCGUUUCGAGGACGAAACUCCUUUUAAGGAGGGGAGGAUGUAAGGAAGUGAAUUCUCGAAAUAUGAGGAUUGCACUCCAUCCAGGAUCGACUAAUUGUCGAGAGUAUACCCUUUGUGGGAGUUGGGAAUGUCCAAAGCACAAAAAGUGCCUUGGAGUUGAGUCCGCGAGAGCAAAUGAGGCAAAUGGCAUCAUUGGGCAGAAGUUGCUCUCGGGGACCGGUCUCUGCAGGUGAGAGACCGGUUCCCUCGGCUGGGUGUUGCGGGGUUGCGUGAUGCAACCGGUCCCUGGUGGUGAGGGACCGGUUCCCGAACGUGGCCCCAGCGUGAGAUGCCAAAAAUUGGCUAAGUCCUGAAAAUCAAGCUCUCGGGGACCGGUCUCUCAGGUGAGGACCGGUCUCCCGAGGACCGGUCUCCCGGGGAGAGACCGGUUCCCGAACGCGUGCGCCCGAGGGAAGCUCUCGGGGACCGGUCCCAAGUCGGGGAGACCGGUCCCUCCGCGCGAAAACUGCCCAGUAAGGGCAGUGCACAGGGGUGAAAGUUGAGGGGCUUUUGUGCAAAAUGGCAUUUAUUUGAGUGGGCUGAGCCCUCUCUCUCCCUCACACUCUCUCAUUUCCUCUCUCUCACUCUCAUUUCUCUCUUGCUCUCUCUCUCUCUAGAAAGGAAAGAAGGAGAAGAAGAACAAGAAGGAGAGGAAGGAAAAGAAGAGGAAGGAAAGGAAGGAGAAAAAGAAGGAGACCAAGAGGAAGGCCUUGGGCAUCUUCCCUUAGCUCUUGAGGUAAGCUACUAAACCCUAGCUUUGUAAACUUAGGGUUUUUGGGUUUUUAUGCUUUGGAAUGGGUCAAAUGGACCCUAGGCAAGCUUCCAAGUAGAUCAAUCCCAUGAUUCUAGGGUUUUAUUGGUAGGUUGCUAUAUGUGCAACCUAGGGCUCCAAAUGGGGGCAUUUUGUAAAGUAUGAGAUUGAUCUCAUUUGAAGCCUUGGAAACCCUAUUGAUAGGUCACGAAACGUGGGGGCGAAGUCGAUUUUGGUAUCCGGCGAGCCGGCGUGAAGUUCUCGGCACAAUAGGGCCGGGCUAGCAUUGAUUUGGGCAAGAAAGGCUAAAGCCAUUUCGUAAAGUUCGCCGAGAAGGAUUUUCUAAGCCUCUAUAUCGAUUAAAGGUGGGGGGUGCCAUCCCGAAGCUUUCGAACUCCUUUCUAUGUCUUAGAUUGCAUUUAAUCUCAUCUCUUCAUGUUGCAUUGUAGGAUUGCAUAGUAGCUCCAUUCCUUAUACUUUCUAAAUGAUAACCUAGUGUACUUGGAACGCUUGGUAACUUAGAUAGGUGAGGAUUGGGUCGGAACGUGGAUCCUAUGAUGUGAAAGAAAAGAGAUGGACCCGAUGGGGUAUCGAUGACAUAGAAAGCAGUGUUUAGUGUAAAAGAACACACGAGUGGCAUCCAAAAGAUAAAUGAUGACGAGUGGCAUUAAUGUAGUGUAUAUGACACUAGAGGUUUGAGAACCUAGGGAUAGGUGGAUCCCUUAGAAAAUGCCUUGUGAACAAUGAAUUUAGAAAAGCUAAAUAGCAUUGCAUGGAUAUCGGGAACAAAUGAUCCCGCGAGAGAUGUUGACUCUAGUUGUAGAGUGCUUCCUCACUUGGAGAGGAUUUGAUUGGGCUGUGAUUCUAGUUGUAGAGUGUCCUCACUUGGAGAGGAUGGAUCUAGCUCACAGUCUGCGUUUGGGGUGGUAUAGCCAUCCAAUCGCCACAUGGAGGGGAUUGUCGUCGAGUACUCCGGAGUGUCGCGCGACUAGGACCACUUGGAGGUCCGGACCACAUGGAGGUCCGCAGACGGUCCCGGGCUUGGGUGCACUUGGAGCUCCCUCCCCACUUUGGGAUUGAAAGGUGAGUCAUGGGCGAGCCCUAGGGCCUCGCCACAGAUUGGGUAAAUGAAAGGUUAAAGGUUUAAUAAAUUUCAUUGAACAUAGCUAUUCGAACAUGGAUCGAAUUUGUUAGCAUGGUAGCAAACCUUUAUUAUAUGAUGCAUGCAUUCAUAUUCAUGAUUAUGGGCAUAGUAGCAUAGCUUUUCCUACUGUCGCAUUUACAGCUUUCAGAUAUCUAUCUAUCUAUCUAUCUAUCUAUCUACCUGUUGUUGCUUGUGCCCACUUGGACCUAGUGGGGAGAUCGGCAGAGUCGGCGGCCGAGCCCACUGGGAACUAUAGAAGAUAGUUCUCACCCCACUCUAUUUCCAGUGGUAGGUACAGGGUUACCGAGAGAGGACCGCGGCAAGGGCAUCGCGCCCGAUCAGUGAGACCGUGGUAGUAUAGUAGCUUUCCUUUUGCAUUAGCACCCCUAUGUAUUGAGAGAGAUUCAUGUAGGUGAGGUUGGAGAGCUAUGUAUUUUGAGGAUCAAAUGUAUUCAUUUUGGGAAAAUGAUGUAAAUGUAAAAGAAUGCAACUAUUGUAAUAGCUAGUAAAGUACUCUCUUUAUUUCACAUGUUUUAUCUUGUGGAUUACUUGCUCUUUGUAUUGUUGGCACUGUUCGUGCCCUUGUGAAUGUGUAUGUUUAGAAUUUAAUUUCCUGGGUAAAUUCUUGUACACAUUCUUGUUGUUGAGCCUUGAGCGGACAGGGGAGGUGCUGUCCG
rnacentral:lncRNA from 1 species